CGCAGCGACGCUUUGGACGGAGCUCUACCACGAGGCUGGCGGCGUGGUUGAAUUCAAACCGUUCAGAACCUGUUUGGGUCGCAGACCGAUGACUUUCAGACUACCUGACUUCGGUUCCGAUCCAGUUCUAGUCUGGCGGGGAGGCUUCCACACAAUUUCCUGUGGCCUUUCUCUGCUGUUCCGGGGAGCAGUGACUGAAGUACCGCAGGAUGCUAACUGCUAGCAAAGGCCAGCUACAUCAACUGGACCGGGCCGAUGUGUUGGAACCAGCCGGUCCUGGGUUCUUCUCCAGGGUCCAGUUCCUGCAGCGGUUCUGCUGAACCUGUCCUGGUUCUGCAGAACUGAUGUGUGACGUGGAGCGCCGCCCACCUGGAAGUGAUGUAACAAAAGGCCGACUGAAGCUCCGCCCCCAGCAGUCUGUUCACAGAGGCGGGGCUGUGACAUAACCGGACCGGGCGUGUUCUGAUCCGGGCUGGUCGGCGCUCCCCGAUUCCUCACCUGACCCACCUUUGUGAUGUGACUCUGUUGCACAGGAAGCAAAACUCGGCCUGAUUUACAUCUGGAGCUGCAGCGCCUCCUGCUGGCUGGAGGUCUCCUGGGAUACAAAGCAGCAGAUGGAGAACUAAUUGGAACAACACACUGAAGCAAACUGACUGCUGAUCGUGUCACCCUGGGAGCCAAUAGGAAGCCAGCUUUUAGGGCUCAGCUGAUGACUCUCCCCCUCAGGCUGGCUCCUCUUCUAGAAUAA